rnacentral:lncRNA from 1 species
UAAAAUCUAUUGUACGUCGAUACAAACGUAGUUCCAUAAACCGGGCAGGCUAUUAUUUUACGUUACGGCAUCCUAUAUUAACGACAUCCGAUGACACUUUUUUUUUUUUUUUGGGGCAAAAAUGUUAAAUUUUAUAACCAAUUUUCUUUGUAACAGAACAACCUAGAAACAAGGAACAGAAGAUGCAAAAAUGAAACUAAACACAUACUCAAUCUAUCUAGGCAGGGACUUCAAGUAAAGCUUCUAACAAGAGGAUACAUCCAAGUCAAUCAAACACUU